rnacentral:lncRNA from 1 species
GGCAGUCCAGCCGCAGGGGCCACCCGAACAGUCUCUCCUCCUCACAGAAGCCUGGAGCUGGGCAUCCAAGAAGAAGCAGCCUCAUUUGUUUUCUGGUGUCAUCGUAGGUGGCCACCUAUGGCUUUUGGGCUUCUCACCUGGGGCGGGUGGGUUCUGCACCACCCUCCCACCCUCCUUCCUCCGUGUGGACGAUAGAGCCACAUCCAGCACCACGGACAGCUCCCGGGCGAUCCCAUGGGAGUAGAAGAGGUGUGAGCAGGUUGCCCAGCUGGUUAGCGGAAAUGCCAAGAUCCAGGCUCCUGAAUUUCAGCCUGGCCCUUUCUAUCUGUCUGAUACCUCCUUUACGAGUCUCUCUGCCUGCGUUGUGUGGAGCGGGCCUGCUGCUGGUUGGGGGAGUUUGCAGGUUGCCCCUAUGCAAAAAAGGACAGGAUGCAUGACUGGCAUCACUGGAAGCUGAGGGUUUUGACAGCGGCAGGCCACAUAGGCAAGGAAGCUGGUGCAUGCAGUGUCUCUGGGCAAGGUUAUGCAACCUUCAUCUCCUCGUCCUCCAGGCAGCACAAGCCAUUGUGGAAUCUCCACCAGGUGUACAGAACGGUGCCUCUGCGUCCUGCCACUCAGGACCUCUCAAGUCCCCGAUGUGAUGGCUCCUCAGCAUGAUCAGGAGAAAUUCCAUGAUCUUGCUUAUUCCUGUCUUGGGAAGUCCUUCUCCAUGUCUAACCAAGAUCUAUAUGGCUAUAGCACCAGCUCUUUGGCUCUUGGCUUGGCAUGGCUAAGUUGGGAGACCAAAAAGAAGAAUGUACUUCAUCUGGUUGGGCUGGAUUCCCUCUGAUAAGCCUUCCCAGUUGACUGAAAGAUGAGGCUAGGCUCUAGCAAGUUGAAGUCAAACCAGCUCCUUCAAGAAGCUUUGAGCAGAAUGAAGUGGGGAGGACCCAGCUUCCAGCCCAGGAAGCCCACUGUACCUGGAGCCAUCUGGGAUAAGACUUUGACCCAUGACUCCCAUAUCCACAGCCUGUCCAUCCUAGCCCAUCCCAGUUUAUCCUGUAUCAUUUGAGCUGGGAUUCCCACAUCCUCUGAGUUGGAAGUCCCAUCUCAAGUCUUCAAUAAAGACUCUUGAAUAUUGAAUCACA